AUUGAACGCUGGCGGAAUGCUUUACACAUGCAAGUCGAACGGCAGCACGGGGCAACCUGGUGGCGAGUGGCGAACGGGUGAGUAAUAUAUCGGAACGUGCCCAAUCGUGGGGGAUAACGUAGCGAAAGUUACGCUAAUACCGCAUACGAUCUACGGAUGAAAGCGGGGGAUCGCAGGACCUCGCGCGAUUGGAGCGGCCGAUGUCAGAUUAGGUAGUUGGUGGGGUAAAGGCUCACCAAGCCGACGAUCUGUAGCUGGUCUGAGAGGACGACCAGCCACACUGGGACUGAGACACGGCCCAGACUCCUACGGGAGGCAGCAGUGGGGAAUUUUGGACAAUGGGCGCAAGCCUGAUCCAGCCAUUCCGCGUGCAGGAUG
rnacentral:rRNA from 1 species